AGUUUAAAUCUAAAUUUAGCGUGAUUUACCGACGUAAACCUCAGAUUCGAGCCAACACACAACAAAAGCGCGUGAACUAAACAACCAACUACAUAGGUACAUAGAGUUGGGUGAAAGGAGAAUUCGUGUUUAUGAAGUUGCCUAACCAAACAAUUCCGGUGUCUGGUUAUCUUCACCUUCACCUGAGGAUAAACAAUGAAAAAUAUUGUGCAUAAAUCAUCGUUGGUUCAUACACGAAGAUGCUAAUAUAAAUUGCGUAGCGAUGCGCAGCCACGAAAAUAUCCUAAUAUGUUCUCAGUACCUGGAAGAACAUCAAAUUGUAGACACAGUGUGCCUAUCUUCAAUGUGAUUCACCAAUUCUUAUGCAUUCAGACCUGUUGUCUGUAUUUUAAGUACAUCACCAAAUCAGCAAAUACCAAAGUUACAAGAUGUUCACCAGUGAGAGUAGAUUUAUGUCUCGCAUGGCAGACAUUCUUUCUAAUGAGGAUGAAAGAAAAACCUUCAGGACUUUUCUGGAGGAGAGGCGGCGCCAUGAUCUUAGGCCUUUGAAUAUCUGGGAGGCAGUACAUAGUUUACACCAGCAGUAUCAGGAUGGUUGUACACCAGAAACAUCACAAGAUCUACUAGAUUUAUUGGAUGAACAACCUGGGAUCUCUGAGGAACAUUAUGACUUGAGUUUGGAAGAAAAUCGCGUUAUUGUGAUGAACGUAUGCUGUAAUAAGCUGGAAAAGUCUGCUCAUAGGCAAUAUACAAGGUUUAGAUUUCCGCAUUAAUGCCCAUUAAGUGUACUUAGAUGAAAUGCCCAUUAAGUUAUUUGAGUUAGUACAUUAAACUCAGGAUUUAUGUUUGUUGUUAACUAUGUUAUGUUUAAUAAAAUAAAUCAAUUUGUGAGAUA